CCUACGGGAGGCAGCAGUGAGGAAUAUUGGUCAAUGGGCGAGAGCCUGAACCAGCCAAGUCGCGUGAGGGAGUACUGCCCUAUGGGUUGUAAACCUCUUUUGUCGGGGAGCAAAAGCCGGACGUGUCCGGCUGUGAGAGUACCCGAAGAAAAAGCAUCGGCUAACUCCGUGCCAGCAGCCGCGGUAAUACGGAGGAUGCGAGCGUUAUCCGGAUUUAUUGGGUUUAAAGGGUGCGCAGGCGGAUUUUUAAGUCAGCGGUAAAAUCGUGGGGCUCAACCCCAUCCAGCCGUUGAAACUGGGGAUCUAGAGUGUGCGAGAGGUAUGCGGAAUGCGUGGUGUAGCGGUGAAAUGCAUAGAUAUCACGCAGAACCCCGAUUGCGAAGGCAACAUACCGGUGCACAACUGACGCUCAGGCACGAAAGCGUGGGUAUCGAACAGGAUUAGAUACCCCUGUAGUC
rnacentral:rRNA from 1 species